rnacentral:tRNA from 1 species
GGGGACGGAUUUGGCCUGGUGGCUGACGCGGACUUCAAAUCCGACGCGGGGCGGUACGCCCGUCUCGGGUGGGUUCGAUCCCCACACGUUCCCGCCA